rnacentral:rRNA from 1 species
CCUACGGGAGGCAGCAGUGGGGAAUAUUGGACAAUGGGGGGAACCCUGAUCCAGCCAUGCCGCGUGUGUGAAGAAGGCCCUCGGGUGGUAAAGCACUUUCAGUGAGGAAGAACGCCUGGUGGUUAAUACCCAUCAGGAAAGACAUCACUCACAGAAGAAGCACCGGCUAACUCCGUGCCAGCAGCCGCGGUAAUACGGAGGGUGCGAGCGUUAAUCGGAAUUACUGGGCGUAAAGCGCGCGUAGGUGGCUUGAUAAGCCGGUUGUGAAAGCCCCGGGCUCAACCUGGGAACGGCAUCCGGAACUGUCAAGCUAGAGUGCAGGAGAGGAAGGUAGAAUUCCCGGUGUAGCGGUGAAAUGCGUAGAGAUCGGGAGGAAUACCAGUGGCGAAGGCGGCCUUCUGGACUGACACUGACACUGAGGUGCGAAAGCGUGGGUAGCAAACAGGAUUAGAUACCCGAGUAGUC